UAUAUCCCAUUUCUACCAUCUGG
rnacentral:siRNA from 1 species